rnacentral:lncRNA from 1 species
GCCUGGAAGAACGUUUGUUCAUUUUUUGUAAAUGUUUUACCUGAGGCUUAAAUAAGCAGGAUACAGAGUUCAAGGAAAGGAUGUUUUUGUGUAGAUGAUUUCAACUUCCGAUUUGUUUUAUCCAUGUUCUCUGUCUCUCUUCCUUUCACACACACGUUUUAGGAAUCUCCAUCCCAUCCCACACAAAGGGACCUGUUCAUGUGGACGAUGCCACACAUCCCUCAGACAGCAACAUUUUCAGACAGCAGAGUUGGCACCCGGACGAGAAGGAAUCGACACGCUAGCAUUGAAGCCUCAUGGGGUCUAUAGGCAGACAGCGGGAUGGAGUUCCAGAGAAUCACAGGUGUGGAAGGAGACGAUAGUGGAGAACAGGUGUGAUUGUAUCACCUGGCUUGUAUUCUGGAUUACAUCACAGCCUAUUACCCACCCUGCACGUGACUGACCUUGUCAAAAGUCCUACUUUUUGGAACGAUAGGAACUCAC